rnacentral:ncRNA from 1 species
ACACGGGGUGCGUUGGAUAAGCGCUGAGAUACAACCCGUGGAACCUGCUCUAGUUUGUACUAGCGAAGGGAUGUCC